AGAUUGAACGCUGGCGGCAUGCCUUACACAUGCAAGUCGAACGGCAGCACGGGGGCAACCCUGGUGGCGAGUGGCGAACGGGUGAGUAACAUAUCGGAACGUGCCCUGGAGUGGGGGAUAACUGGUCGAAAGAUUAGCUAAUACCGCAUACGAUCUACGGAUGAAAGUGGGGGAUCGCAAGACCUCAUGCUCGUGGAGCGGCCGAUAUCUGAUUAGCUAGUUGGUGGGGUAAAGGCCUACCAAGGCAUCGAUCAGUAGCUGGUCUGAGAGGACGACCAGCCACACUGGGACUGAGACACGGCCCAGACUCCUACGGGAGGCAGCAGUGGGGAAUUUUGGACAAUGGGCGCAAGCCUGAUCCAGCAAUGCCGCGUGAGUGAAGAAGGCCUUGGUGUAAAGCUCUUUGUCAGGAAGAAACGGUGGAGGCUAAUACCUUCUGCUAAUGACGGUACCUGAAGAAUAAGCAACCGGCUAACGUACGU
rnacentral:rRNA from 1 species